rnacentral:rRNA from 1 species
UACGGGGGGGGCAAGCGUUGUUCGGAAUUACUGGGCGUAAAGGGCACGUAGGCGGCUUCUUAAGUCAGGGGUGAAAUCCUGGAGCUCAACUCCAGAACUGCCCUUGAUACUGAGGAGCUUGAGUCCGGGAGAGGUGAGUGGAACUGCGAGUGUAGAGGUGAAAUUCGUAGAUAUUCGCAAGAACACCAGUGGCGAAGGCGGCUCACUGGCCCGGUACUGACGCUGAGGUGCGAAAGCGUGGGGAGCAAACAGG